GUCUCUGUGUGUAGUGUAGUUUAUCCUGCGUGUCUCUACGAUGUGUAACGUUAAAACCGCCAAUCACAAACUUUAUUAGAUCUCGGUAGAAGCAUGCGGCAUGUUAA